rnacentral:lncRNA from 1 species
GACAAUAUAUAUUAGGACACAUGGCAUGCUCACUACUGGAAUUCCCUAUUUUGUGGAGUGCCAAAUACAAUCGGCAAAUGCGAAAAAAAAACUCAGCAUAAUAUUUGCCGAGUGCUACACUCGAAACCACGACUAUGUUGGACGCCUGUUGGCAAAUUUAUGUCGUCGGUUUUUCAUUUGUACGGGCACCAAUCGGCACCUACAAAAAUCCUUGCCGAGUGCAGAACAUAGGGACUCGGCAAACAAAUGACAUAGAUGGAAGGACAAAUUACGGCCGUUUUACCGUUUUCCUAAUUGGGCAAAAGUAUGCUCCGGUAGGGCUACCCAGAUGGCACCAUGUGUCAUGUUUGCCGAGAACAAUAUUAGGCAAACAGGUCUUAGACACGACACAGCUAGCCUAAAGAAGGCAACUUUGAUUCUCCAUGUUGGUUGAUUGCUAGCUUGAUGCUAAUAUUUGACGUAUUAACAUUACCUGCAUCGGAUGUUUCUGUAGCGUUCGAGGAUGAGAACACGGUGUAUAUGGUGCUGAAGGUGACGUAGGAAUACGCAUCUUGAUGAAAGACAUGGAGAAGAUGAUGUCCAUUGAAGGAAAAUGCAGGGAACUAAAGCAUGAGUAGUUUAGAGUGGUCAAUGUGAAUGCAGAUUUAGUUUAAGGAAGAAGUGGAUUCUGAAUAUAACAAGAGGUCAAUGAUGCAAGAACUAGGAUAAGGCAUAACAUGGUUGCUGGAAGAUAUAUUUGUACAAUAACAGGCACACGCAUGCAGCCGUAAUGUCGAUCAAAUUACGUAAGGUAGCAGCCCAGUGAAUUGUACAAAUAUGGAUGCACGCAGGUAGUGAUAGACACUCUAUCAUGUCAGAUCCAGAAUUAAUGUGUGUUGUACAUUAAGUUUUCCGUUCUUUAAAACGUGUUUUGAUUAGUCCUGAACCAGCCCUUACGUCUCACACAUUUGGAGAAGGUUCAGAAAGAAGAGUUUUUCCUUAAUUCUGCAUUACCAUCAUCGUAUGCAAGAUGACCCAAAUUAAAACUUAUAGCCUUAAUUCCGCAUUACGAUCAUGGUGUGCAAGAUAAGCCAAAUUAGAAAUUACGGCCUUAAUUCUCGGCAAGCCUCAAGGUUCAUAAGGUGAGUCAUCUUAAUAUAUACUGUUUUUUCAUAAAUAUAGGCUCUGUUUCCAAGACCCUUAAUAGUAUCUUUCAAAUACCCAUUCUUGAAUAUCGUGGAAACAUUUUAUACAAGUAAAUGUUUUUCUAGACAUGACUUCAUUUAAGAUAUUGUAGAGAUGAUUUAAAUAUCAUGUUUGGCCUCUUAUUUAGAGGAUGACAUAACUUGGAACUCCUAUUUAGAGCAUGCACUCAAUUAUAUAUAGGUUCACCCUUCUAAAAGUUUUUUGCAAGGAAGGCCACUUUAAUUCCCCGAAUUGUUUACAAUUUUAAUUUUUAAAUGGGUCGCCUUAUGUUUCGAUAAAGGUUUUGUGGUUUGUAGGAUAAUAUAUGGGAGUAUCUGAUGGCCCACAUGUCUCUAUACAUUUCGAGUGGUAUCCUCAAUAAAUAUGUGGUACCAUCUCCCAUCCAUUGUUUCCCACCAUGUAAGACUGAACACUAUGUCCUUCCUACCUAUGUUCCUUUUAUGGUUCACCAUGAUCUUUUUAGAUCAUGAAAAUAUAAAAGGUCGCCAGCUAUAGUUUGGAAUAAAUAUUGCGUAUUACUCAUAAUAAAUAUAAGCAAAAUUUUGUAAGAAAAAAAGCAUACCUAGAUUGUCGCAAGAGUUAACACACAAGACAUAAGCUAUAUGUAACCACACAUGACUGCGACCUACAAAAUAUUAAUUUUCACAAUUUAGAAAUUCAAGCAUGAAAUAUUUCUAUAUAUGGAAUUUAAAUACAUAAUUCCAAUUUACAGUUUGCAUUAUGGAAAUAAAUCAUUGAUAAAAUUACCAAAAUUUCAUAAAUUAAGAAAAAAAGUUGUUUAGAGCAAAUAUUGUAAUAAUAAUAAUAAUUUCAAAAGUUAUGUAAUGACUG